rnacentral:lncRNA from 1 species
CUGAAACUCUCUGUGAUAUUCACUGAUAGUCUAGCUGAGACUGACAAGUUUCUUUGGUCUGGGUUUCUAAGAUCAAAUUUGGAUUGGAAUGUUUAUUCACGAAACAAAGGAGAAAGUCUAGGAGUUUAGUUCAUGCUCUCAGUUAAUGAGAACUUGUCUUCUUGAGGCUUUAAACAUAAAAUUAAUUUUGAAAAUAUUAUAGAGAUAGUAUUCCAUUGCUUGCUAAAUCUUAUACCAUUAUAGCCCUCUAUUCU